rnacentral:rRNA from 1 species
GACGAACGCUGGCGGCGUGCUUAACACAUGCAAGUCGAACGAAGAGCGAUGGAAGCUUGCUUCUAUCAAUCUUAGUGGCGAACGGGUGAGUAACGCGUAAUCAACCUGCCCUUCAGAGGGGGACAACAGUUGGAAACGACUGCUAAUACCGCAUACGAUCUAAUCUCGGCAUCGAGGAAAGAUGAAAGGUGGCCUCUAUUUAUAAGCUAUCACUGAAGGAGGGGAUUGCGUCUGAUUAGCUAGUUGGAGGGGUAACGGCCCACCAAGGCGAUGAUCAGUAGCCGGUCUGAGAGGAUGAACGGCCACAUUGGGACUGAGACACGGCCCAGACUCCUACGGGAGGCAGCAGUGGGGAAUCUUCCGCAAUGGACGAAAGUCUGACGGAGCAACGCCGCGGGAGUGAGGACGGCCGUCGGGUUGUAAAGCUCUGUUAAUCGGGACGAAAGGCCUUCUUGCGAACAGUUAGAAGGAUUGACGGUACCGGAAUAGAAAGCCACGGCUAACUACGUG